AACGUAGGUGGCAAGCGUUAUCCGGAUUUACUGGGCGUAAAGGGUGUGCAGGCGGGCGGUCAAGUGGGGUAUGAAAUAUCCUGGCUCAACCAGGAGAGGUUAUGCCAGACUGACCGUCUUGAGUGCGAGAGAGGGGCGUGGAAUUCCGGGUGUAGUGGUGAAAUGCGUAGAGAUCCGGAGGAACCCCAGAGGCGAAGGCGGCGCCCUGGGCUAGCACUGACGCUCAGGCACGAAAGCGUGGGGAGCAAACAGG
rnacentral:rRNA from 1 species